GAUGAACGCUGGCGGUAUGCCUAACACAUGCAAGUCGUACGAGGGUUUUUAAACUCUAGUGGCGGACGGGUGAGUAACACGUGAGAAUUUGCCUUUAGGAGGGGGAUAACAAUCGGAAACGAAUGCUAAUACCCCAUAUGCUUUUGAGUGGAAUGGAUUUAUCCGCCUAAAGAGAAGCUCGCGGCUGAUUAGCUUGUUGGUAAGGUAAGAGCUUACCAAGGCGACGAUCAGUAUCUGGUUUGAGAGGACGAUCAGACACACUGGAACUGAGACACGGUCCAGACUCCUACGGGAGGCAGCAGUGGGGAAUUUUCCGCAAUGGGCGAAAGCCUGACGGAGCAAUACCGCGUGAGGGAAGACUGCCUAUGGGUUGUAAACCUCUUUUUCAGGGAGGAAUAAAAUGACGUGUACCUGAAGAAUAAGCAUCGGCUAACUCCGUG
rnacentral:rRNA from 1 species